rnacentral:tmRNA from 1 species
GUACUGGUUUCGACAGGGGUUUGGAAGCUGGUGAAGCUAUCCGUAGGUUGAUGCGUUAAAUCACAAUUUAAAAUUAAACGCUAACGAAAAAGUAGCAUUUGCUGCCUAAUUAAUUGGUAGCUGUCAUACUUUAGUAUCCUACACCUAGAGUAUGGUAUUAUCAUUUCGUAGGGAACCUUUUAUAUAAAGCUUUGAAUAUAAAAGAGAUUUAUGAAGCUACUGAUGAUUACAGGAUGUCAGUUUUCGGUAAUCAAAGGGAAUCUUAAAUAACUGAAUAUGAUAGUAGAAGAACAGUGAAAGGAUUUUUGGACACGGGUUCAACUCCCGUCUGGUCCACU